AAUCAACGCUGGCGGCGUGCCUAACACAUGCAAGUCGAACGCGAAAGUCCCGCAAGGGAUAAGUAGAGUGGCAAACGGGUGAGUAACACGUGGGUGACCUGCCUUCGAGCGGGGGAUAACGUCCCGAAAGGGACGCUAAUAUCGCAUAACAUCCUGCCUUUUAAGAGGUGGCGAUCAAAGCCGGGGAUUCGCAAGAACCUGGCACUUGAAGAGGGGCCCGCGCCUGAUUAGCUAGUUGGGGGGUAAUGGCCUACCAAGGCAACGAUCAGUAUCCGGCCUGAGAGGGCGGACGGACACACUGGGACUGAGACACGGCCCAGACUCCUACGGGAGGCAGCAGUGGGGAAUUGUUCGCAAUGGGCGCAAGCCUGACGACGCAACGCCGCGUGGAGGAUGAAGACC
rnacentral:rRNA from 1 species